rnacentral:rRNA from 1 species
GACGAACGCUGGCGGCGUGCUUAACACAUGCAAGUCGAACGGAAAGGCCCUGCUUUUGUGGGGUGCUCGAGUGGCGAACGGGUGAGUAACACGUGAGUAACCUGCCCUUGACUUUGGGAUAACUUCAGGAAACUUGGGCUAAUACCGGAUAGGAUCUCCUGCUGCAUGGUGGGGGUUGGAAAGUUUCGGCGUUUGGGGAUGGACUCGCGGCUUAUCAGCUUGUUGGUGGGGUAGUGGCUUACCAAGGCUUUGACGGGUAGCCGGCCUGAGAGGGUGACCGGCCAAAUUGGGACUGAGAUACGGCCCAGACUCCUACGGGAGGCAGCAGUGGGGAAUAUUGCACAAUGGGCGGAAGCCUGAUGAAGCAGCGCCGCGUGCGGGAUGAAGGCCUUCGGGUUGUAAACCGCUUUCGCCUGUGACGAAGCGCGAGUGACGGUAAUGGGUAAAGAAGCACCGGCUAACUACGUG